rnacentral:rRNA from 1 species
CAUGUAGGCGGGUCUUUAAGUCAGGGGUGAAAUGCCAAGGCUCAACCUUGGAACUGCCUUUGAUACUGGAGAUCUUGAGUCCGGGAGAGGUGAGUGGAACUGCGAGUGUAGAGGUGAAAUUCGUAGAUAUUCGCAAGAACACCAGUGGCGAAGGCGGCUCACUGGCCCGGAACUGACGCUGAGAUGCGAAAGCGUGGGGAGCAAACAGGAUUAGAUACCCUGGUAGUCCACGCCCUAAACGGUGGGCACUAGGUGUAGGGCUCGUAAGGGUUCUGUGCCGAAGCGAAAGCAUUAAGUGCCCCGCCUGGGGAGUACGGCCGCAAGGUUGAA